rnacentral:rRNA from 1 species
CGUGUCGUGAGAUGUUGGGUUAAGUCCCGCAACGAGCGCAACCUUCGCCCCUAGUUGCCAUCAUUCAGUUGGGCACUCUAGGGGGACUGCCGGUGAUAAGCCGCGAGGAAGGUGAAGAUGACGUCAAGUCCUCAUGGCCCUUACGGGCUGGGCUACACACGUGCUACAAUGGUGGUGACAGUGGGCAGCGAGACCGCGAGGUCGAGCUAAUCUCCAAAAGCCAUCUCAGUUCGGAUUGCAUCUGCAACUCGAGUGCAUGAAGUUGGAAUCGCUAGUAAUCGUGGAUCAGCAUGCCACGGUGAAUACGUUCCCGGGCCUUGUACACACCGCCCGUCACACCAUGGGAGUUGGUUUUACCCGAAGGCGUUGCGCCAACCCAGCAAUGGGAAGCAGACGACCACGGUAGGGUCAGCGACUGGGGUGAAGUCGUAACAAGGUAACC